rnacentral:snRNA from 1 species
UGAUGUGAGGGCGAUCUGGCUGCGACAUCUGUCACCCCAUUGAUCGCCAGGGUUGAUUCGGCUGAUCUGGCUGGCUAGGAGGGUGUCCCCUUCCUCCCUCACCGCUCCAUGUGCAUCUCUCCCGAAGCUUCGCACUAGGUCGAAGAGGACGACCUUCCCCGAAUAGAGGAGGACCGGUCUUAGGUCAAGGGUAUAUGAGUAGCUAUGCUCCCCUGCUAGAACCUUCAAACAAGGUCAUUUGAAAUUUUGAUCUUAGGCAUUCUGACUAGUGUGAGAUGGAAUAUCAGGGUAAUUUUGAUUUGCAUUUCUUUGAUGACUAAGG